UGACGAUGUAAAAAAUUUAAAUCAUCACAAGUCGAUAAACAACGGUCAUUUCUGAAGAUUCAACCUGAAGAUCGACACGAAAAACUUCUGUGGCUCACAAACUUUCAGCUUGACAGCUCUUCGACAGCUCCAUCGUGAAUAAAACCUCCCCCAGACGACUGAUAAACACCUGAACAGAGAGGAAACACCGACGACAUGGAGACCGUAAGAUUGAAUGACAAUAUCCUCAUGAAAACUUGUGUUAUCGUCGAGACUUUGGGAAUAGUUAGCUUAAAAGUGAUGCAUUGACACUGUAUGAUGAGCCCAAAGUCCUGCUGUGGUCCUGUCCUGCAUGUUUAAGAGCAGAAAAGUUCAUGUUAUUGUGAGAAAUCUCUGCGUUUAGUUUUAGUAAAAGAUGUUUUUGUCUUCUUGGCUUUUUAAAGACGUCAGUCUGAAACUUAUUUGACAGUUUCUUUUAUACUAACCAAUGAUAUCAGGUGAAAACUAACAUUGAACUCAAGCUAUUUUCACUGUAAUUACAGCGAAAGAGGCGUAUUAAAGUAGUCAAAUGUAGUGUUAAAAUAAGGGACACCUUCAUAAGUUUAAAGAUUUGUCAGUCAUCAUAAAAUUCAACAAAAUGAACUCAAAAUACAUCAUAGUUAGACCUUUUUUUUAAAUUAUUUUAAAGUGCUCCAAUAGGCCUAAAUUACAAAAAAAUCAUAUGAAUUACAUUUAAAAAGUUACAAAAACAGAAAAAAUUAAGUUGAAAGACAUUUAUUAUGUACAGCCUUUAAAAUUAAGAGUUUGAUAAAGUUCAACUCAAAUAUGUUUUUAUGUUUUCAUGAAUCAAGUGUGUGUUUUCUACCACAAUAUUUAAAACUUCAUUAUGUUUUAACAGGGAAAAAUCCACCUUAAGUGUAAUCGAAACACUGUCCUAUUGUAGAAAUCAGUUUUUAUCAAACUGAAAACUGAAGAUUUUCUUAUUAUUAAAUCCUGAGAAUAUGCAGACAUACCAAAAUAUCAAUUCUUAACAGGGGUGUUCUAUUGAUGUUAAUUAUUUCUAUUGCACAACUAACCUGCUGAUUACAGACUAAAUACAAAUUCAAAUGUAUUGACCCCUCUUGAUGAUACUGAUGUUACAGAUGCUUCCUUCAUGACCUUGACCACACAGUCAAAUGUUACAGCUUGUUUAAGGACCUCGGUCCUUGUGCACAGCUCUGACUGGUCCUGUCCCAGGCUGAUGCUCAGGAGGGUCGCCGCAACACCCAUGUCCCCUUCCAGGCCUCGUGGUGUAAGUAGGAAAUGACACUGACAACAUAGAGAGGCUGUUAGCAUGCCUUCAAAACAACAUACAAAACUUUUAUAGUCUGAAUAAUUUUGACUACAGAAAUGUGUUUAUGAAUUUGUCUUUUAUUUUAAUUUUCUUGAACUGACUUGUGUUCAUGAAUUUAUUUCAAAGAUGUGAAAACCAGAAAACCAGUUCUGCAGAGUUCAGAUUUUUUAACUUGUCGUUUUUUUCUGUCUCAGGUGGUGCAGUACAGCCUCGUCGGGUCUUGUGUUGCCCUUCUCUUUGCUCCUCUCCUGC